rnacentral:ncRNA from 1 species
AAAGACUUAGUCCUAACCUUACCGUUAAUUCUUGCUAGACAUAUACAUGCAAGUAUCUGCGCCCCAGUGUGAAUGCCCUCCACACCCUUAAAUAGAGUGUGAGGAGCGGGUAUCAGGCACACCCAUCGAUCGUAGCCCAAGACACCUUGCUUAGCCACACCCCCACGGGUACUCAGCAGUAAUUAACAUUAAGCAAUAAGUGCAAACUUGACUUAGUUAUAGCAGCAUCAAGGGUCGGUAAAUCUUGUGCCAGCCACCGCGGUCACACAAGAGACCCAAAUUAACAGUAGCACGGCGUAAAGAGUGGCAUCAUGUUAUCCUAGCAACUAAGAUCGAAAUGCAGCUGAGCUGUCAUAAGCCUAGGGUGCACUUAAGACCAACCUGAAGACGAUCUUAGCCCUCGGGAUCAAUUGAACCCCCACGAAAGCUAGGACACAAACUGGGAUUAGAUACCCCACUAUGCCUAGCCCUAAAUCCUGACACUUUUCUCACUGAAGUGUCCGCCUGAGAACUACGAGCACAAACGCUUAAAACUCUAAGGACUUGGCGGUGCCUUAAACCCACCUAGAGGAGCCUGUUCUGUAAUCGAUAACCCACGAUACACCCAACCACCCCUUGCCAGAGCAGCCUACAUACCGCCGUCGCCAGUUCACCUUCCCUGAAAGCACAACAGUGGACACAACAGCCCUAACUUCGCUAGCAAGACAGGUCAAGGUAUAGCUUAUGGGGUGGAAGAAAUGGGCUACAUUUUCUAGCAUAGAAAACUUCACGGAAGUGGGUGUGAAAUCACCCACAGAAGGCGGAUUUAGCAGUAAAGGGAGAUAAUAGAGCUUCCUUUAAGCCGGCUCUGGGGCACGUACAUACCGCCCGUCACCCUCCUCAUAAGCUAUCGACUCCCAUAACUAAUACUCCAAUUGGCCGAAGAUGAGGUAAGUCGUAACAAGGUAAGUGUACCGGAAGGUGCACUUAGCAUAC